rnacentral:rRNA from 1 species
UGCAAGGUCGAACGCGUAAGGGGAGCAAUCCCUGUAGUAGAGUGGCAAACGGGUGAGUAACGCGUGGGUGACCUGCCCUCGAGUGGGGGAUAACGUCCCGAAAGGGGCGCUAAUACCGCAUAACAUUCUGGGUUUGAACAUCUGGAAAUCAAAGCUGGGGAUCGCAAGACCUGGCGCUUGAGGAGGGGCCCGCGUCCGAUUAGCUAGUUGGUGGGGUAAAAGCCUACCAAGGCGACGAUCGGUAUCCGGCCUGAGAGGGCGGACGGACACACUGGGACUGAGACACGGCCCAGACUCCUACGGGAGGCAUCAGUGGGGAAUUGUUCGCAAUGGGCGCAAGCCUGACGACGCAACGCCGCGUGGAGGAUGAAGGUCUUCCGAUUGUAAACUCCUGUUGCCAGAGACGAAUGACUCGCGACCUAACACGUCUUGGGAAUGACGGUACCUGAAUGUAGGAAGCCCCGGCUAACUCUGUGCCAGCUACCGCGGUAAUACAGAGGAGGUCAAGCUUUGUUCGGGAAUUACUGGGCGUAUAAAGGCGCAUCAGUCGGACC